UGAAACCUGAAUGACGAGCUCUUUCACAAAUAGUAUGUUGCUGAUUAUUUUCAAUUUUUUCCUCCAAAUUAAAACAUACACCUCCAGCAACGAAUUGAGCAAGAUCAUGAACAAGAUCAUGCAUCACAAAUUGUGAUGAACUAUGAUUUGAUUGUUGGAAAAAUGACCUUGCAAAUAAUUCAUGAAAGAAUUCGGUGCCUAUCUCCUCCAUUUGCUUCUGUCUAUUUACUUGAUGCAAGAAUCCCUCUCCCAUCCACAGCAAGACUAAUUCAUCCACAUCGAAUUCGUAGUCCUUCGGAAAUAUAGAGCAAUAAGCAAAGCAGCACUUCAAAUGUGAAGGAAGAUGAUGAUAACUCAAUUUGAGAGCUGGAAGAAUAGUGUUAUUCUCUUGAUCUGGUAAGUCCCAUAUCUUGCUUUUCAGUAUAUCCUCCCACGCAUCACGAUUCAGUUUUGUGCGCAACAUUCCUCCCAAGGCCUUUGCAGCCAAAGGUAGCCCUUUGCACUUUUUCACUAUUUCUUCACCAACAACUCUCAGGUGUGGAUGAUUAUGGAAGUUUCUUGUACCUAAUGCUUGCUGGGCAAGCAAAGACAAGCACUCAUCAUUGGAUAACUCCUUGAGGGGAUAGGCUGAGCUGGCUCCGAUGGCUGAUACAACCCCUUGAUUACGAGUUGUGACAAUAACCCUGCUGCCUUGUGCUCCAGUCCUCAUUGGAGCGUACAAAGUAUCCCAUUUAUCACAAUUCUGAUUCCAAACAUCGUCUAAAACAAGAAGAAACUUUGUUCCAGAGAGUUUCUCUUUCAGUUUGACUUGAAGCAGGUUGAGAUCGUUGAAAUCGGACAUAUCAGAAGCAACAGACUGAACAAUUGUCUUUGUUACCCUCAAGACAUCAAAAUCAUCAGAGACACAAGCCCAAACUCUUAGAUCAAAAUGACUCUCCACUUUGUCAUCGUUGUAGGCAAGCUGAGCAAGAGUAGUUUUGCCCACGCCUCCCAUGCCAAUUAUGGGAAUGACACGGACUGCGUCAUCACUUGGCUCAUGAUCGUGGAGCAACAAGUCGAGUAUGGCUGCUUUAUCGGUUUCCCUACCACAAACACGCGAUUCAUCUACCAAAGAAGUGGUGGGUAGUAUUUCUGUUGCUUUGGCGGACCUUUUCCCGGUAACUUUUUCAGUUAAAAGGAGAUUAUUUUGCUGUGAAGAAAUAUCUUGCAACCUUUCAGUGAUCUUCUCUAUCUUGGACCUCAUCUUAACAUUGAACUUAAUAGCACUUGGAGUGAAGCUAGUACAACAAGAAGGGAUAAGGCUCCGGAACUUACUUGUACUGGGUUGAGUUUCCGCCAUCAACUUCCGCCCCAAAGCUUCAGUGGCCAAUUCGUCCAGGAUGUCCUCCACAUCAUAAGCCAAGUCUCUGAGGUCGUCGAGCCAUAUCUUCACCACUUGGUUUUCCAUCUGCUUCUCCUCCGCAUCCUCCAGCACGGCAUGAAUUUUCUUCAGUGUUUUCUCCCACUUGUUGAGCUCAGCAUGAACUUGCACUUGGCGAGCAUAAUCGAGCAGGUCAGAAGAGAUCAACUCGUCCAACAGAGUCUUAAAGAAAGAAGAGAGAAAAGCCUCUCCAACAAAAGCCAUGGAAGCAAGUACGAGAAAUCAAAGGCAGAGAAACGACUCAGAAUCAGAACAGCACAAGUAGAAAGUCAGACAAGGUUGGUUAUGGAGCAAUUAUAGAUUACAAUGUCAUUCCUCUUUGACCACACCCAUAUUCAUCACUUUGUACGGUUGAGAUCCUCCAAUCAAAUUGUGAUUAUAAUCACAUAUUUGAUGUUAGCACACUGUAUUAAGAUUCCCUUUUAUUAAUCUAAUGAUACUUAACAACUCCUGCAAUUGAUCUUUUAUUAAUACUCAUCACAUUAAUUAAAAAUUCAUCUAAAAUGUAAGGAAUCUCCAGCAAAUUUCUUGACGUGUGUAUGCAUAUUUUUAUAUUGCAAGUGGGUUUCCCACUCUAUAUUUUAGAUUAAUCUUAACAGCUGCCCUUUGUCCCCAUCUAAUUUGGAUCAGGAAUAUUGUCGGCCAACCAGAAAACUAUCUGUUUUUUACUCUUCAGAACAGAAAAUAGAUUUUUUUUUUAUUGUUUUCAUUUAUUUUUGAAUGCUAUUUUAAAAAAAUAAUUAUACGAAUAUGCAAAAUAAUUAAAAAUAAAACAUUAGAUGUAGAAAUUAUUUUUAAAACAUAUUUAAAAAUAUUAAAAAUAUUUUAGAUUUUCAAAUUGACUUUUAUUCUAUAAAACCGUUUAAAAAAAUUAUUCUAAAAAGCCGUUUUUCAUAACUAUUUUAAAAAACAAUUACUAAAGAAAACAUUAGUGCCUCUUUUCUAAGAAAAAAGAAUUGAAACUCAUUUUAAUUCUAAAUUUAUUAAUUUUUAUUUAAUAAAACUACCUAGUUAACUCCUAGAAAAAACAAAUUUUAAUUUUGAUUUUGAAUCUCACGCUUGAUUUUGAUUUGUUUAAUUUAUUAGGGUUCACCAAUUCGUGGAGUGCGAGUAAGGACGAAAACAUCGGGAUAUAUCGGCAAUAUAUCGGAAAAGGUGGAUGCAAUAUAUAGGUAAAAUAUAUUAUCCGAUAGAAAUAUCUUGAUGAUAUAUCGGUAAUCAUAGAUAUAUCGACAAUACAAGCAAAAUAUCCGCCUUAAAUGAAAAAAUAUUUAAAAUUUUGAAAAUAUAUUAAAUAUAUAGAGAUAUAUCGGUGAAAAAUCGAUUAAAAAAAUUAAAUUAUUAUAAAUAAGUUAAUUUUAAUUAUAUUAUAAUUUAUUUUAUAUACUAAGUAAAUAUAAAACAAAUACAAAAUCAUAAAUAUUUUAUGUGAAAACGUACCAAUAUUUUUAAAUAAAAAUCAUAAAUACAUUUAAAUCACAUAAUCAGUAUAGUUGCAACAAUUUAGUUUUAAAUUAAUAAUUUUAUUUUAUUUUGAUAUUCAAGUAUAAUAAUAAUAUAUUGAGAAUAAAUUUACUUAGUAUAUUUUUAAAUUAAUACAAUACUAAAUUUAAAUUAGUAUAUUUUUAUAAUUAAUUAAUAUAUUUUCAAUAGAUGUAAGUAAAUUAACUUAAUAUAGUAAUAUAUUUAAAUCACAUAAUUAAUAUAUUUAUAAUAAUUUAACUUCAUAAUAAGUAUACACUUACAAAAUUUACUUUUCUUAUUGACCAACACGAUAUAAUUAAAUUUAAUAUCCCAAAUUAUAUAUAUGUCAUUUCUUUCAACAAAACAAUUUUAAAAUGUGUAUUAUACUUUUAAUUUCAUUUUUAAGAGUUUUUUCUCAUAUUUUUAUAAGUUUUGAUUAAUUUUUGAUCUAUCGAUAUUUUGUGUCAAAAUAUCUAUCGAUAUUUUGUGUCAAAAUAUCUAUCGAUAUAACUCCGAUAUAUUCAUAAAAUUUCAUUAUCAAUAUAUUCGUGAUUACUGAUAUUUUCAUUUUUGAGUGUGAGACAUUUAAUAAAUUAGUCUCCAACUUGUUGGUAAUAGCAUGGAGUUGUUGGGGGUGAGGUCCAGACCGGGUGUAAAGAAGAAUUUGCAUUAUUGGUAGUAGUUGCAUUUGUGGUGUUUGAAAUAAGAGAAAAUAAAAGAAAAGAAAAUGGUUUUUGUAAUACAAACUGUACACUAGAAUAUCCAUGUUAUUAUUUAAUAACAUUGCUUAAAAUUAUUCAGAAGUCAUCAAACAUGUAGGCUAUGUUUGGUUGUGAAAAAUUUGAGUGAAAAAAAUUGAGGAAAGUGGAAGGAAAUAAAAAAAGUAAAGAAAAAAAAUAGAUUAAAAAAUAAUAAAUUAUUUUUAUAUGUUUAUUUAAACUCGUUUAAUUUAUUUUUCUCCAUUGUAUCUGUUCGCGGUGCAACAUAUAUGGUGAAGAAAAAUUAUAAGAUUUUUUACGAUUAUGAUGUUUUAUGUCUAUGCGGUAGUUGCUUGCUUUUCUCUCCUCUUCUCUCCCCUUCUCUCAUUUUGUACUAAUUUUUGACAUAGUGAAUUUUCUUCUCCUUCACUUAUAGUUUUUUUCAUUUUUUUUUACGUAAAUUUGUGUGUUUUUAUUUUAUUUUUCUUCAUAUUAUCUAUCAUCAUUUUUUCGUAACAAUAUUAAGAUUAAAUAAUUUCAAUUUACAUAAAUUUCUAAGUAAUUUUAAUUAUAUUUUAUUUUCUUUCAUAUUUUUCAUAGUAAAACUAAACAUAAGAGAACUAUUUUUCUUAGCAUUUUUUUUUUUCUUAAUAUUUUCUGGUAACAAAAUAUAGUUGUAGCCUUAUUUAAGUGUUUUUCUAUUGUACUAACUAUAUACUAAUUUUUUUAUCAAAAUUGAAUUUCACCUGGAAAUGGUUUGAUACACCUCAUUUCUAAACUAACAUAUAAAUAAUAUAUAUAUAUAUAUAUAAUUUUUCUUUUCAAAAAAAAAAAGAGAAAAGAAAACCUAUUUUAACUAAUCUAACCUCAAAUUAAUUCCAUGACAUUACACAUUUUUUUAAGUUAAUCAUUAUAAGUGAUUUCGUUUACAUAUUUUAAUGACAAAAUUUGUUUAAAGUACAAUAUUGUACAAAGUAAAUGUAGAAAAAAAAAAGCCUUAAAAAACAUAAGAAGUGACUUCUGCCAAAAGUAAAAGAAAAAAUAUUAAAAAAAAGAAGAAUAUGUUUUCAUGUUUUAUUUUAUUAUAAGAAAUAUAAAAGAAAUCAAACAAAAUUAAAAUUAGCCAAAAUUUUAUAUAUUUUAAAAUUAUUUAAUCUUUAUAUAUGAGAAUUAAAGCAAGUGAAAUGAGUUGAAGUAGCUUUUUUAUUUUUCUUUUCUUAUGAUUUUCCUUUCUAUUUUUUUCUUCCAUUUUUCUUCAAAUUUUCUGAAUCCAAACAUAACCUAAAAGUUUAAGAAUAUCAAGAGCUAACAUGAGAUGUGGAAUUGACCAAUUCAAAAUUAUUUUGGCAUGCUUGAUAGAACUAUUGUCCAUUUGGGGAAGUUUCUUCUUCUAUAGAAUUCGCCUAUAAACUUUUUCAGAUUUCUACAAGUUCAUAGCAAUUCAAGCACAUUUAUACCAUUCCCUUCAUUUUACAAAUAAUCAAAAUCACUUUUUCAUUCUACCAUUUACUCUUUAAUGUUCUCCUUUCUCUUUACAUUAAUAUCCAUCGUAUCUCUAAAAUUUUCUAUAACCUUGAAAGAGCAGAUAUCCCCAAAGCAACUAUGAGCUUUUUUAGAUUUCUAUGAGGUCGUAGUAACUCAAGCACAUUCAUAUGGUUCCCUUCAUUUUGAAAAUCCUCAAAAUCACUUUGUCAUUCCAUCAUUAACUUUUCAAUGUUCUCCUUUCUCUUUAAAUUAGUAUCCAUCAAUCAGAUCUCCUCCACAUUAUUAAAAUAUUUAGGCUCCAUUUCUUGCAUGACGUUCCAAGGAGGCUAGGGACUCCAUCAUCCAGAUUCCAAGACAGGUGAGAGAUGUAAGAAGAAGACACUCAUCAUUUGAAAGGAAACCAUUUAUGAGAGAACAUCUCAAAUGCACAAUGACGAAAUAAGCUUGGGACUUAUGUGUUAACAAAAAAGUAUUUUAUUCAUUUUUUAUACAUUAUUUUCAAUAGAAAAUAGUUCUCAUUUUCAUUUUCAAACAGGUUCUAGAACUUCUAACUUUUCUCUCACUAGCCUAAGUAACUUAAGCAACAUUGAAAAGACAUCUAUAUUUUGGGGUUAAGCUUCCAAUUGCGUUGAUUAAUGGAGUUGAAGUUUUGGCUGCACCUAGACAUGUAUGUUUAUGGUUUCAUUUUAAGUUGUGUCAUCAGCCCCUCAUCCUCUAAGACAAAAAAGUUUAUGACACAAGAAAUGGGCAUUCGUGAAAGCAAUGAAAUUAAAGGUACAACAAGAUUUACGCAAAAAACCCUCCAAUAAUGAGGGAAAAUCCAUGGGCCAGUAUAGAAAUAAUCCUCUAUGGUAAAAAGGAUAUUAUAGUAUCCUCACAAAUUUCUUUUUAAAAAGAAAGGAAAAAAACUCAAGGUAUUACAACUUUUAAGAAAAUAAAAAUGUUCAAAUCACCAUACCAGAGAACCAAAUCCUAUAGAAACAUCUGCUACUAAUGUCUAAGGAGAAAACAAGCUUCACAUUUCUUACAUUCUACACUAAGCACCAAAACCAAAGAUGGUUGAUUUUGCUUCAGCGACUACAAAUGUAAAAGCACAACAUUGAUGUCCUUAAGUUGAGUUCUUCUUGGAGAGCCAAAAGCGUCAAAAUUCCUUUCAUUUUUAUGCCAUCAACUAGCAGAAAAGUCAUGGUAUGGCAAAUCCAUCGAGCUUCCACCACCUACCACCUUACAUUCAGGAAGUACCAAAAAAAGGGAAAAAAGGGUUAGCCCAAUUGAAUAGAAUUUGCCUAACAAAGCAUUGUAAGUGUGAUCAUUGCCCCCAAUGUGAAAUGCUCCUCAACACUUACGUACACAAACAAUGAACUAUAAAAGUACUCAUUGAAAUUCUAAUUAAGAAGCACUUGAGCUGGUGGAAGAAAUACAAUGGCAUGAAAAUUAUGACUUACACAACAAAGAAACCUAUGAAUUCUAUUCAACAAACAAAAAGGAAAACCAUCAACUAUGAUUGAGUCAAUAACAUACCGUCAUACAUUUGUUAGGAACUUAGUCUGCCACUGCAUUAUUUUUCUCCCUCCUACAUGUAGAAAAGAAGUUUCUAUUAAUUAUAGAAGUGGAUAUUUAGACCAAGGAAAAACAGACUUAAGCAUCGGUGGUUAGUCAAGCAUACCUGGGUGAAGGAAAGAAUGAUCCAUCUCUCAACUUCUAGAGUAGGAAUAACACAACUCAAUUUAAAUUCAUAUUUCCAAUGAGGUCAUGUUGCUGAAUGUUGGAGAUGUAGGCAAUACUGAUCCAAACUUUCUCCUUUCUCUUUUAAGCAAUUUUGUCUCACAACAGGAAAAUUCUGGAUUUCAAGCACUAGGUGUUGUGUUCAGCUCUUUCUUCAGCAGUAGGGACCAAAGCUUAGCACAACUUAAGAUGAAUAGCACUUGAAGAAACUUUCAGCAAAAAUUAAGCUAACCUGAAGUUAGAGAAACAAGCAGAAUGAAUUUUUUAUCCGUAAAGGCCUGGUGCACCAGUGCCACUCAUAGAGAGGCGUCUCAAGCUUCCCACAAUUGAACCCAAACUAAACAAUGGGGCCAAACCCCUUUCCAUAAAUUACGGAACACCUGAACAAUCAAGGAUCAACCUUGGUAAUGAACGUAAAAAUGGAAAAGAAAAAAUUAAUGAACAAAAUUAAAAUAUUAAAAAAAUAAAAAGAAAAAGGGAAAAACCUUGAGUUGUGAUGAGUUUUGAAAUGCACCUUUUGUCUUUCUACAUGUGCAGAAAAAUUAGGGAGUUAAGAUUAUUAUUAUGAUGUUAAUGGAAUUAUGGGAGUAACUUAUUAAUGGGUUGGUCUCCGCUUCCAUUUUUGUGAUUGAAAAAUAAAAUCCAAUUUGAAAUUGAUUCAUGUGUUAAAAACCUAGCUUUUCCCUCUACAUAGGGAUGUGAAAAUCUUAGGUCAAUCAUAUUUACAUGUUAAUUUAAAUAUUUGAGAAAUUAAGAAGCCAGUACCAUUUCUAUGGACAAAAACCAGCUUCAUCAAAUUGUUGGAAUAGAAAUAAGCAAAUGUGUUUGAAAUAUUGAAUGAAGAAACCAGGUCAAUUGGAACUAAACUAAGCAAGUGCAACCAGAAAUCUUCUUAAGAUCAAACUUAAGCCACAAUAAAAUUGUUGCAAUCGAAUGAAUAAUUGAGAACAACAUACUAGCAUGUGAAUAAAGGGUGUUGACUCGAAUUUCAUCUACCUCUUCUAUACUUCUUACAUACAACAAUAUGAGGUCUGUUAGCUUAAGGGUGCCAUGCAAAAGGAAAUAUGAUUUAAUCAUGUAGAAAGAGAAACAUUUUAGAGAACAAGGAAAUAAGAUAGAUGAGAAAAGAAGAUUCUCACAAUUUUAAAAUUUAGAUGAGAAAAUUUGAAUCGUUGAAAUCAAGGAAGGUCAAGUCAUCUAUGAUUCCAUCCAGCAUCCAAUCUACAAUGUCAUAUCCUGGUUACAAAAUUGCAUUAGGAUAGAAAAAUGUAAAAUAAACAAAAACUCAAAAGUAAAAAUAAAAGAAAUUGGAACCAAGUUGCAAAUGGGCGUACUUUGAAUGCCUUCAUAAAUGCAGGGGAUGUGGGCGACGUUAGACCAAUAUUCUCCUCCCUCUUUUAAGUAUCUUUCUUCUAUGGUAGGACAACCAGAGAUGAAAAGUUCUUCAAGUGUUGCAGGAAGCGGCCCUAAGGACCAGAGGUUAGGGCAAUUUGAGAUAUCUAGGGAUCGAAGAGAGAUGAGGUUGCAGAGAGCCAAGGAGGCUAAGGAUUCCAUUCCAUCGAUAUAAAGGCGGGUGAGAGAAAAGAGAAGACGACUCUCUUUAACCGGAAAGGAAACCAUAUCUGGAAACAUUUCCCUAAUAAUCAAAUGAGAAAGAGUGGUCAGGGUGUCGAAGCCCCACUCAGAUAUGGGCGUUUUCAGAUUCUUACAGUUAUUGAUCCCAAGUGAUGCUAGGUUAGGGGCCAAACCCUCUUUCGGAAAGGACUCCAAUCCUAGGCAUUCGGAUAUGGUCAAGCUGCGCAGAGAUUUGAGGUUUCUCAUUUGAUGUGUUAGAGAUUUAAGAUUCUCACAUCCCUCAAUUUUAAGGUAUUCGAGGUUAGGGAUGGACAAGCCUCUUUCUGGAAAGCACUCCAGACCUCCACAAUCGUUUAUGACGAGCUUCCGAAGGCUGUCAAGGCAUCCUUGUAGGCUUUUCAGAUUUGGAUACUCCAUAAGUUGUAAAUACUCUAGGGCUGUACUGUUGGGUGACAUUUUCUCUGACACUGACUCCAAGUUUGUGCAUCUGGUUAUAGAAAGUUUCUUGAGAGUGAAGGGUAACUCCCCUGUUGGAAAGGAAUUGAGAGAGGAACAAUUAUCUAUUAACAAUGUUUCAAGACAACAAGUGUUGCUGCUGGAGGUUGAAUUGUGGUGCAUCAGCCCCUCUGGUAGAGACUCUAGACUUAGACAAUUUCUAAUACGAAGGUUCUUGAGUGUGGUGGGUAGCUCACCAUUUGGGAAGCAUUUGAGAAAUGGAGAACACUCAAUCGUCAAGACUUCAAGCGGACACGAGCUGUAGUUAUGAGGCAGCGAUUUUAGACCCUCACAAUAGAACAACUCUAGGCGUCUUAGCAUUGGUGGGAAACCCGAAUCAGGAAAUGACUCUAGUUUGGGGCAACUCCAUAUCUCCAGCUCUUCAAGACGUGUGAGAGUUUGCAAUCCAUUCGACAGCUUCUCCAGAUUAGCACAAUCACGUAUUUCCAAUUUUUUAAGAUUGCAAGGCAGCCAUUGCUCCUCCCACAAACAUGUCAGCCCAUCACAAUUGUAUAUCCGCAAUUCUUGCAAGGCUACCAAGGAUCUAGUAAAUCCGGUCCUCAAACAUGUCAAUCUUGAAAUCUGGAUGAGAUUUACAGUAACGAGGGAUGGAAGAUCAAACUGAGCACCUCCCAACACUGCCUCAUCGCAUUCUUUUAAAGUUAAUUCACGGAGAGAUGCAAGUUUUGGAAGCCCACACAUCAAUCCCGGACAUUCUAACACUUCAAGCUCUACUAGGGACUGCAGGCAUUUCGGCAAUUCCCCAAUCAGUUUUGGACAUUUCCUCAUAAAAAACUUUUCAAGAUGGGGAAAUGUUCCCACAUUUUCCUUGAUGAAAUUAGAAUGAGACCAAUUUUCCCAUUCUGGCAUAUCCUUAAACCUCAACUCCUUCAAAGAUGCAAAAGGAUUCAUACUCUCUCCAUAAAAUUCAGCACCUAUGCUUUUAACUUGGCUCAUACCUUCAAUACACAAAACCUUGAGCACCGAUAGUCCACCCAGAUUUGGUAAUAACAUGCAUUUUUGGCAAUUUUUGAGAGUUAGUUCCACCAUUACUGAGAAUGAGGGAUCUCCUAACCAACUUGGAAAUUUGGAUCCACCAUAAAAUGCAAUUGUGAGCCUUUUUAAAUUUUCACGAGGCUGCAAGGACUCCAAGACAUGCAGUUCACAUAUAUCGUUUCGUACAUCCCAAGAAUCAUUACUCCACUGCAUCGUCAACUCUUCAAUUUUUUUUUUAUCUUUUAAAUUAGGAGCUCUUGCCUCUCCAACAUCCACUACCUCUUGCAAACUAGAAAUAGAAAGCACUCCUUGGAGGUUCGAACAAUUCUUGAGUUCGUCAAUUCCAACCCCUCUACUUUUGCUCACAAUGAACCUAGUCAACACUUGCAAAUUUGUGAGGUUGCUAAAUUGGAAAGGCAUUUCUCGUAGUCGACUUGUACGUGUAAUAUCAAGGUGCCGAAGGUUUUUCAGCUUUCCAAUCCCUAUAGGCAAUUCGGUAAGUUCAUGACAACCACGUAAUAUCAACGUUUGUAAAUUAUAAAGAUGACCCACUGAAUUAGGUAGACUUUGUAUCCUAGAGUUGGAAAAAUUGAGAUAACGCAGAUGUAUUAACUCACCAAUCAAACAUGGUAGCUCUCCCAUGAUAUAAUCAGUCAAAGAUAGUACCCGCAAGUAUCUCAUUGGCAUUAUUAGGUUAUGUAACACCUGGUUAGAUAUUUUUCCGGACAAAGUAAAUGAAUCUUGAGGCAUUGUGAUUGGUACUGCUAUUAAUGUGCGUAGAUUCUUCGCUUUGUCAAAGGCUUCAAAUUUUCCAACAACCUCAAAUUCUUGCCGAGUGAAACAUGAAUGACGAGCUCUUGCAGAAAUAGCAUGUUGGUCAUCGUUUUCCAAUUUGUCCUCCAAAUUGAAACAUACGUCUCCAGCAACCAAUUGAGCAAGAUCAUGAAUAAGAUCAUGCAUCACAAAUUGUGAUGAAUGAUGAUUAGAUUGUUGGAAAAAAGACCUUGCUAAUAAUUCAUGAAAGUACGCGGUGCCUAUCUCCUCCAUCUGCUUCUUUCUGUUCACUUGGUGAAGGAAUCCCUCUCCCAUCCACAGCAAGACUAAUUCAUCCACAUUGAAUUCGUAGUCCUUUGGAAAUAUAGAGCAGUAAGCAAAGCAGCACUUCAAAUGAGAAGGAAGAUGAUGAUAACUCAAUUUGAGAGCUGGAAGAAUACUGUUAUUCUCUUUUGGUAACUCCCAUAUCUUGCUUCCGAGUAUUUCCUCCCAUGCAUCACGAUUUAGUUGUGUGCGCAACAUUCCUCCUAAGGCCUUUGCAGCCAAAGGUAGCCCCCUGCACUUUUUCACAAUUCGUUCGCCGACAGCUCUCAAGUGUGGAUGAUUAUCAAAGUUUCUGGUAUGUAUAAAUGCAUGCUGGGCAAACAAAGAUAAGCAAUCGUCAUUUGAUAACACCUCGAGGGGAUAAGCUGAGCUGGCUCUGACAGCUGGUACAACCCUUUGAUCACGAGUGGUGACAAUAACCCUGCUGCCUUGUGCUCCAGUUCUCAUUGGCUUGUAUAAAAGGUUCCAUUUAUUACAAUCCUGACUCCAAACGUCGUCUAAAACAAGGAGAAACUUUUUUCCAGAGAGUUCAUCAUUCAGUUGGACUUGAAGCUGGUUGAGAUCCUUGGCAUCGGAUUUCCUAGAGGUAGAGGCAACUGACUGAAGAAUUGUCCUGGUUACCCCCACGACAUCAAACUCAUCAGAGACGCAAACCCAAACUCUUAGAUCAAAAUGACUCUUCACUCCAUCAUGGUUGUAGGCAAACUGAGCAAGAGUAGUUUUGCCCACGCCUGCCAUGCCAAUUAUGGCAAUGACACGGACUGCAUCAUCACUUGGCUCAUGAUAAUGGAGCAAAGAGUCGACUAUGGCUGCUUUCUCUGUUUCCCUUCCAUAAACAAUAGGUUCAUCUACCAAAGAAGUGGUGUGUGGUAUUUCUCUUGUUUUGGCGGACCUUUUCCCAGAAUUUUUUUCUGUUGAAAGGAGAUUAUUUUUCCGUGAAGAAAUAUUUUCCAACCUGGCAGUGAUAUUCUCUAUCUUGGUCCUCAUCUCAACAUUGAACUUAAUAGCACUUGGAGUGAAACUAGUACAACAAGAAGGGAUAAGGCUCCGGAACUUACUAGUGCUGGGUUGAGUUUCCACCAUCAACUGCCGCCCCAAAGCUUGAGUGGCCAAGUCGUCCAGGAUGUCCUCCACAUCAUAAGCCAAGUCACUGAGGUCGUCCAGCCAUAUCUUCACCACCUUCUCUUCCAUCUGCUUCUCCUCCGCAUCCUCCAGCACGGCAUUAAUUUUCUUCAGUGUUUUCUCCCACUUGUUGAGCUCAUCAUGAACUUGCACUUGGCGAGUAUAAUCGAUCAG
rnacentral:lncRNA from 1 species